rnacentral:lncRNA from 1 species
UUCCACUAAUCAUACCUAUUCAAGAACUCAAUUAAAAACUCUAGGAUUUACCAAAAUUAGUAUUUCUUACCUUGAUACAAAGAUCUUUCACAAAUCUGCUUGAAAUCAUACUGUUUCCAUCAAUCCGAAAAUGGAACUAUCAAAUUUGCCCAACUACUUAGAAGCCUAGAAAAUUUUAUAUGAAUUAUACCACAAAAUAUUUACCUCUUUCCUCUCUAAAAAUUGAAGAAAUUGAAUAAUGGAACUCAAGAUUUUCUUCACCCUUUUUUCUUUAUCUUCUCUUUUCUCUUUUCUCUUUUCUUUCUCCUUUUUUCUCUCUCUCGGUCUCUCUCAAUUUUUCCGGUUUCUUCUCUCCCAGCCAUUUCUUCUUGUGUGUGUAUGUAAAGAAUUGGAAGAAAUGGUUUAUAACAUGACACUUGUAUUCCACUAACCCCAAAUUUUGCCAUUCAAGUCCUUCAACAUUAAUAUAUCUUAACAUUAAAUCUUUUACUUCCAAAAAUAGAAAAAUAAAUCCC